UCAAGGUCACUUCAAGGUCAUUCGAGGUUCAUUCAAGGUCAUUCGAGGUCACCAGGGUUACUUGAGGUCAUUUUUUAUUUUUUGAGUCUCUGACCAGGUCACUUUAGGUCGUUUCAAGGUCACUUCAAGGUCAUUUGAGGUCAUCUCAAGGUCAUUUGGGUCACAGGGGUCACUUGAGGUCACUUUUUUAUUUUUCUGA
rnacentral:lncRNA from 1 species